GCUCGCGCCUCUCCCUCCACACCUCCCUGCAAGCUGAGGGAGCUGGCUCGGGCCUUGGCCAGCCCAGAAAAGGGCUCCCACAGUGCAGCGGUGGGCUGAAGGGCUCCUCAAGUGCCGCCAAAGUGGGAGCCCAGGCAGAGGAGGCGCCAAGAGCGAGCGAGGGCUGUGAGGACUGCCAGCACGCUGUCACCUCUCACUGGUCCGUGGCCUGACGGUUGGAGACCCCUGUGUUAAAGGAUACAAAAUUAUAGCUAGGAAAACAAAACAAAACACUGUUACCUACCCGGAUCUGCCUUCCAGCACAUUCGGUACAAACCCACCAGAACAAAUACUGAAAGUGUUAUUACAAUCAAAGCAAUAACCACCGGCAAAAUAAUACCUAAAAAGAAUUGGAGACAUUGUCAAUUAGAGUGGCUACUGAAUUUCACAGCAAUAGUUUGGAAAAACUUGUUAUUUGUUGAGAGACAUGUGAAUUUGCAGCUUUAGAUGUUCUAUUCAGGCAGCAUUUAAGUUUGGAGGGUCAACAGAUCAGACUUGGAGUCCUGAUAUGUGUCAGAAAUUGGGGAAGAUUACUGCCUGAGACAGCACAGGGCAGCGACAGUGAGAGAUGAAGGCAACAUCAGUGUGCGCCAGAGUUUUGCAACUCCACACGCAGUCCAUCAUGGACCAACAACUGCAGCAUCACCUAGGAGCUAUUAGAAGUACAGAAUCUCAGAUCCCACCCCAGAUUCCUGAGUUGGAAUCUGUAAUUUGAUAAGAUUCUCAGCAUCAGUAACCAGGACAGAUUUUGGCUGUUUCAUAACAAAAAUUGGCUUUGUGACUAAAUGAUGAGAAAAAGACAAUGUUAGUGAAAUUCCAAGGCCUUCAAGCAGCAGCCUAAGAAAACCUAGAAGGCUGCCAAUGAAGCCUCUAAUGUAAUGAAAUUGGAAACUGCAGCAAAGGGAACUUUCGUAACAGUGAGAUGUGUGACCGCACUGGCAUCUGAGGUAAUGAGAAAAACAGGAAAUUUGUCAAAUUUAUCAAACUGCUAAAUGAAAUCCAUAUCAGUUCAUCAAGAGUCAGCAAGCUUUUUCUUGACGGGCUGGAUAGUACAUAUUUUGAGCUUGGAGAUCACAGGGCUUCUGUUACAACUUCUGAACUAUGCCAUUGUAGUGUGAAAAAGCUAUAGAAAAUACAUAAAUAAAUCGGCAUGAA